rnacentral:rRNA from 1 species
GCGUUGUUCGGAAUUACUGGGCGUAAAGCGCACGUAGGCGGAUCUUUAAGUCAGGGGUGAAAUCCCGAGGCUCAACCUCGGAACUGCCUUUGAUACUGGGGAUAUCGAGUCCGGGAGAGGUGAGUGGAACUGCGAGUGUAGAGGUGAAAUUCGUAGAUAUUCGCAAGAACACCAGUGGCGAAGGCGGCUCACUGGCCCGGUACUGACGCUGAGGUGCGAAAGCGUG